rnacentral:rRNA from 1 species
GACGAACGCUGGCGGCGUGCUUAACACAUGCAAGUCGAACGGAAAGGCCCUGCUUUUGUGGGGUGCUCGAGUGGCGAACGGGUGAGUAACACGUGAGUAACCUGCUCUUGACUUUGGGAUAACUUCAGGAAACUGGGGCUAAUACCGGAUAGGAGCUCCUGCUGCAUGGUGGGGGGUGGAAAGUUUCGGCGGUCGGGGAUGGACUCGCGGCUUAUCAGCUUGUUGGUGGGGUAGUGGCUUACCAAGGCUUUGACGGGUAGCCGGCCUGAGAGGGUGACCGGCCACAUUGGGACUGAGAUACGGCCCAGACGCCUACGGGGGGCAGCAGUGGGGAAUAUUGCACAAUGAGCGGAAGCCUGAUGCAGCAACGCCGCGUGCGGGAUGACGGCCUGCGGGUUGUAAACCGCUUUCGCCUGUGACGAAGCGUGAGUGACGGUAAUGGGUAAAGAAGCACCGGCUAACUACGUG